rnacentral:misc_RNA from 1 species
AAGUCGUAACAAGGUUUCCGUAGGUGAACCUGCGGAAGGAUCAUUACUGGGUAAACGAGCGCCCCGGCGCUCACCCCCCCACCCUGUGCUCACCCGUCCAACACUCGGCGUCAGGCGGGGCCCCCCAGGGCCCCUCCGGCCGACAUCAAACCCAGAACAACGGUGCCGCCUGAAGUGACAAGCAAAUAGUCAAAA